rnacentral:rRNA from 1 species
GAUGAACGCUGGCGGCGUGCCUAAUACAUGCAAGUCGAGCGAACAGACGAGGAGCUUGCUCCUCUGACGUUAGCGGCGGACGGGUGAGUAACACGUGGAUAACCUACCUAUAAGACUGGGAUAACUUCGGGAAACCGGAGCUAAUACCGGAUAAUAUAUUGAACCGCAUGGUUCAAUAGUGAAAUACGGUUUUGCUGUCACUUAUAGAUGGAUCCGCGCCGCAUUAUCUAGUUGGUAAGGUAACGGCUUACCAAGGCAACGAUGCGUAGCCGACCUGAGAGGGUGAUCGGCCACACUGGAACUGAGACACGGUCCAGACUCCUACGGGAGGCAGCAGUAGGGAAUCUUCCGCAAUGGGCGAAAGCCUGACGGAGCAACGCCGCGUGAGUGAUGAAGGUCUUCGGAUCGUAAAACUCUGUUAUUAGGGAAGAACAAAUGUGUAAGUAACUAUGCACGUCUUGACGGUACCUAAUCAGAAAGCCACGGCUAACUACGUG